rnacentral:rRNA from 1 species
UCGAGAAUAAUUCACAAUGGGGGCAACCCUGAUGGUGCAACGCCGCGUGGAGGAUGACGGUCUUCGGAUUGUAAACUCCUGUCAUCUGGGAGUAAGACCUGGUCGUUAAUAGCGGACAGGGUUGAUAGUACCAGAAGAGGAAGGGACGGCUAACUUCGUGCCAGCAGCCGCGGUAAUACGAAGGUCCCGAGCGUUGUUCGGAAUCACUGGGCGUAAAGGGAGCGUAGGCGGCGUGGUAAGUCAGAUGUGAAAUCCCGGGGCUCAACCCCGGAACUGCAUCCGAUACUGCCGUGAUUAGAGGGUGGGAGAGGUAGCUGGAAUUCUUGGUGUAGCAGUGAAAUGCGUGGAUAUCAAGAGGAACACUCGUGGCGAAAGCGAGCUACUGUACAACACCUGACGCUGAGGCUCGAAGGCCAGGGUAGCGAAAG